UGAUUACACUGGAAUGAAAGUUGAUUUUACAAAUAUUGGAAUAGUUGAUGAUGUCUUUAAAUGUGAAGUCUACCAAACAUUUACUGCAUGAAAUUUGACACUUUUUCGAAGUUUUGAUGAAUUCAAUGAAUUCAAAUCUGGUAUCAGAUUUUUAUGGAAAGUUACAGGCAGCUCAAGGCUUUAAUCCACCAAAAUGGUUCAAAGAUAUAAAGAUGUAACUUCUUGGUAUAAAGUCAUGACUGGUUUUGUAUCAAUUUAAGAAUACUGAUGACGAGCUAGGAAGAUUGUUAGGAGGUACACUUCUGGACUGGAUAAAUACUAAUAUGAGAAAUUUUAAAACUAAAAGAUCUUAUGAUGAGUUGUACAAGCUUUCAAUUUUUU
rnacentral:lncRNA from 1 species